rnacentral:lncRNA from 1 species
UAUUGGUUGGAUUGUAUUGAUUGAACUUGUUUGAAGGGGGUCCCUGGCUCGCCUUAUAUUGUUGGGGGCAGGGUUAUAGUUCGGUCGUUUACAAGAAUACUAGUUGGAUUCAACUAGAGAAUCCUACUCUAAUUGCUAUGAGUAGUUUCCUAAUCCUCGACAAGUUCUUGUCCUCCACAUAGACCAUGCCGUCCUGCACUGUACUCUCCAUGUCUGACAUGUCUUGGUGUACAACCCCAUAUCUAGGACUGUCCAAACCUUCUGGUGGGCCCAUA